GAAACGAAAGCAAUGAAAUUGAAAUACGUAUAGGUAUUCUGGAGCGAGGCAGUUAUAAACUUAGAACGGAAAAUUAGGACAAGGCAGGCUUAUAUGGACAUGAUCAAAAGACACGUCCUUUGCCUUCUGUUAGUAGGAUUUGGGCGUUCCACCCAAAUCUACCGCAUGGUCGUUGAUAAAACAUAACACAUCAUUAUGUUUUACCGCCAACUGCUUCUUCCACUGCUCUGCGAUCAACUCCUGUGAUGCCGACGUCGUUCACGGAACCAAGAAGCACGUGAGAUCUCGUGACGAUGGUUACGUUUCUGUGCACAUGCGGCGAACCACGAGUCAAAGGUAGCAUCCAUCACGAUGACUCUUAUACCGACGAAAGCGGCCGGAGGAGACGAGUCUAAUACCUCCUACGAUUCGACUUAGCGUCUUCUCUAUGAGUGAUAAGAACGAUUCGAUACCUGCUCUAACCUCAUAGAGAGCUAUGAGACCACGGGCUGCAGUUAACGGGAGAGGAGCCCACGUGAGUCCUCGUACCUAAGGGUAAAUAUGCAGGGCUAUUGAUCAUCCCUCUUGGAACCCGCUUUGGUAUUCACCGACAAUGUAUUUAGCCUACGUGUGUUGGCUGCUAAACAGAACACGAGAAAGUAUCUUAUGUGCUGUAUUGAGGAUCGUUGUUACCUGCACAGUGUCGAACAACACACACCCCUGGGAAAAGGUCAACAACCAACAUGAACCCCAGGAGCCAAAUUGACAUUUGCUGAAAUACGAAAGGUUGUUAAGGGAGCUAGAAAAUCAGGUGUUCAACUACGUAGCCAUGUAUAAAACUAGCCUAAAAUUAAUGCUAAAUGGAAUCCUAUCAUUGAGAACUAUCAUUACCGUGAACUAUUCGGGAGCGUGAAGGUAAUUAAAUUAAACUGUGAUUUGAACACAUAAAUCUACUUAAAUCUAUGAUUUAGUUAGCAUCGCAGUUUCCUGUACAGAAGAGUAGGUGUAGGCCAAAUAGUCGAUCGAAUUGGCAAGAUACGUAAGUUAGCGUAGAGUCUUACUAAAGUAGACGUGAAUUAAAAUAGCCGACACAUUUCAGGAACGUUUUAUUCAAUAAACGUGA